GUGAAGCAUCCUGUUAAGUCAGGCAACGAGCGAGACCCACGCCAACAGUGCCAGCUCGUCCUCCGGGGAUGGUGGGGACACUGUUGGGACCGCCUCUGCUAAAGAGGAGGAAGGAAUGGGCAACGGUAGGUCAGCAUGCCCCGAAUUAUCUGGGCUACACGCGGGCUACAAUGGGUGGGACAAUGGGUAUCGACACCGAAAGGUGAAGGCAAUCUCCUAAACCCAUCCGUAGUUCGGAUUGUGGGCUGCAACUCGCCCACAUGAAGCUGGAAUCUGUAGUAAUCGUGUCUCAAAAUGGCACGGUGAAUAUGUCCCUGCUCCUU
rnacentral:rRNA from 1 species